UACGGAGGGUGCAAGCGUUAUCCGGACUUAUUGGGUUUAAAGAGUGCGUAGGCUGUCUUUUAAGUCAGUGUUGAAAUUCUGUCGCUUAACGAUAGAACUGGCAUUGAAACUGAAAGACUUGAGUAUGGAAGCAGCAAUAGGAAUGAACGGAGUAGCGGUGAAAUGCAUAGAUAUCGUUCAGAACGCCGAUUGCGAAGGCAUAUUGCUUGACCAUUACUGACGCUGAGGCACGAAAGCGUGGGUAUCGAACAGG
rnacentral:rRNA from 1 species